rnacentral:rRNA from 1 species
UGCUUGCACUGGUCAAUCUAGUGGCGAACGGGUGAGUAACACGUGGGUAACCUGCCCAUCAGAGGGGGAUAACAUUCGGAAACGGAUGCUAAAACCGCAUAGGUCCUUUAACCGCAUGGUUUGAAGAGGAAAAGAGGCGCAAGCUUCUGCUGAUGGAUGGACCCGCGGUGCAUUAGCUAGUUGGUGAGGUAACGGCUCACCAAGGCCGUGAUGCAUAGCCGACCUGAGAGGGUGAUCGGCCACAUUGGGACUGAGACACGGCCCAAACUCCUACGGGAGGCAGCAGUAGGGAAUCUUCCGCAAUGGACGCAAGUCUGACGGAGCAACGCCGCGUGAGUGAAGAAGGUUUUCGGAUCGUAAAACUCUGUUGUUAGAGAAGAACAAGUGCUAGAGUAACUGUUAGCGCCUUGACGGUAUCUAACCAGAAAGCCACGGCUAACUACGUGCCAGCAGCCGCGGUAAUACGUAGGUGGCAAGCGUUGUCCGGAUUUAUUGGGCGUAAAGCGAGCGCAGGCGGUUCCUUAAGUCUGAUGUGAAAGCCCCCGGCUCAACCGGGGAGGGUCAUUGGAAACUGGGGAACUUGAGUGCAGAAGAGGAGAGUGGAAUUCCAUGUGUAGCGGUGAAAUGCGUAGAUAUAUGGAGGAACACCAGUGGCGAAGGCGACUCUCUGGUCUGUAACUGACGCUGAGGCUCGAAAGCGUGGGUAGCAAACAGGAUUAGAUACCCUGGUAGUCCACGCCGUAAACGAUGAGUGCUAAGUGUUGGAGGGUUUCCGCCCUUCAGU